UACGGAGGGUGCAAGCGUUAUCCGGAUUCACUGGGUUUAAAGGGUGCGUAGGUGGAUUAGUAAGUCAGUGGUGAAAUCUCCGGGCUUAACCCGGAAACUGCCAUUGAUACUAUUAGUCUUGAAUACCGUGGAGGUCAGCGGAAUAUGUCAUGUAGCGGUGAAAUGCUUAGAUAUGACAUAGAACACCAAUUGCGAAGGCAGCUGGCUACACGAAUAUUGACUCUGAGGCACGAAAGCGUGGGGAUCAAACAGG
rnacentral:rRNA from 1 species